rnacentral:rRNA from 1 species
UCUGGGACAAGCCCUGGAAACGGGGUCUAAUACCGGAUAAUACUGUGCCCCUCAUGGGGGAUGGUUGAAAGCUCCGGCGGUGCAGGAUGAGCCCGCGGCCUAUCAGCUUGUUGGUGGGGUAAUGGCCUACCAAGGCGACGACGGGUAGCCGGCCUGAGAGGGCGACCGGCCACACUGGGACUGAGACACGGCCCAGACUCCUACGGGAGGCAGCAGUGGGGAAUAUUGCACAAUGGGCGAAAGCCUGAUGCAGCGACGCCGCGUGAGGGAUGACGGCCUUCGGGUUGUAAACCUCUUUCAGCAGGGAAGAAGCGAAAGUGACGGUACCUGCAGAAGAAGCGCCGGCUAACUACGUGCCAGCAGCCGCGGUAAUACGUAGGGCGCAAGCGUUGUCCGGAAUUAUUGGGCGUAAAGAGCUCGUAGGCGGUCUGUCACGUCGGGUGUGAAAGCCCGGGGCUUAACCCCGGGUCUGCAUUCGAUACGGGCAGACUAGAGUGUGGUAGGGGAGAUCGGAAUUCCUGGUGUAGCGGUGAAAUGCGCAGAUAUCAGGAGGAACACCGGUGGCGAAGGCGGAUCUCUGGGCCAUUACUGACGCUGAGGAGCGAAAGCGUGGGGAGCGAACAGGAUUAGAUACCCUGGUAGUCCACGCCGUAAACGUUGGGAACUAGGUGUUGGCGACAUUCCACGUCGUCGGUGCCGCAGCUAACGCAUUAAGUUCCCCGCCUGG